GAUGAAGAACGUAGCGAAAUGCGAUAAGUAAUGUGAAUUGCAGAAUUCAGUGAAUCAUCGAAUCUUUGAACGCACAUUGCGCCCGCCAGCACUCUGGCGGGCAUGCCUGUUCGAGCGUCAUUUCAACCAUCAAGCCCCUAGGGGCUUGUGCUGGGGCCCUGCGGCUGCCCGCAGGCCCUGAAAACCAGUGGCGGGCUCGCUAGUCACACCGAGCGCAGUAGCACAUCUCGCUCAGGGCGUGCGGCGGGCUCCUGCCGUGAAACCCCCCACUGUAACCCCAAAGGUUGACCUCGGAUCAGGUAGGAAUACCCGCUGAACUUAAGCAUAUCAAUAAGCGGAGGA
rnacentral:misc_RNA from 1 species